AGUGAACGCUGGCGGCAGGCUUAACACAUGCAAGUCGAACGGCAGCACAGUAAGAUCUUGCUCUUACGGGUGGCGAGUGGCGGACGGGUGAGGAAUACAUCGGAAUCUACUUUUUCGUGGGGGAUAACGUAGGGAAACCUACGCUAAUACCGCAUACGACCUACGGUUGAAAGCAGUGGAACUUCUGACCUUGCGCGAUUGGAUGAGCCGAUGUGGGAUUAGCUAGUUGGCGGGGUAAUGGCCCACCCAGGCGCCGAUCCGUAGCUGGUCUGAGUGGCGGGUCGGCGGCACGAGAGGGGGAACGCGGACCAUAGUCCUGAGGGACGCAGCAGUGGGGAAUGUUAGACAAUAGGCGCGAGCCUGGUCCAGCGAUACCGCGUGGGUGAAGGCAGCCUUCGGGUUGUGAAGCCGUUUUGUUGGGAGAGAAAAGCUGUAGGUUGAGACGCAGCUGGACUGACGGUACCCAAUAAAUAAGCACCGGCUAACUUCGUG
rnacentral:rRNA from 1 species